AAAAUUCCCUCCCCCAGGGCCAUAAACCGAUUCGGUCCGGUCUAUCAUGGCCCCCGGCCCAAUUUGGGUGCUCAGCACUCAACAGUCAACACUCGACUGCGCUUGCUCUUCCUCUCCUCCUCCGGCCCUCGUCGUCGUCGUCGUCGUCGUCUCCAAAUGCGGCGCCUCCUCCUCCUCCUCCUCCGCCUCCGCCGCUCCUUCUCCACCGCCGCCGCCACCACCUCCACCUCCACCUCCACCUCCCUCCAAUGGCGCCGCUCUCUCGAGCUCCAAACCCUGGCCUCCCAGGUCUCCUCCCUCCUCCUCCACCGUAGGCGCUUUCCCUCCCCCUCCCUCCUCCGCGUCCUCUCUAAGCUCCGAUCCCACCCCCUAAUCGCCCUCCGUUUCUUCCGAUUCGCCGUUUCCAACCUUGCCUUCGCCCCCGACCUCCGAUCCCACGCCGCGAUCCUACAAAUCCUCGUCGACGCCGACCUCCUCGGCCCUGCAAGGGUGAUCCUCGACCCGGCGAUCCGAUCGGAGCCCUCGGCAGCGCCGCUUCUCGAUUCAGUGCUCCGAUCCACCACCUAUGCUGCUGGUGCACAUUUUGUAUUUGAAGAGACGCAAUGAUCUUUGUAUAGCGGAAUUGUUAAGGCAACAACGCAUGACAGAGAAUUUGGCAAGUUUAGGAGCUGAAAUGAGUAGCUCAAGUCAUGGCAAUUGGAUUGGGUCUUGUUUAUGACGUCAUAAACAAGAAGGCCAUGGCGAAGUUAUAAUUUCUGGAUUUCACGAUGAGUGGACGGCUUGAUUGGGGGAUUGGAAAAUUCACUAUUUUUUACUACCAGAGGAGACGCUCUCUGUAUUGGAGGAUGCAGAGAGCUUGCUGACAUCGAAGGAGGCUUCCCGAGUGGGGUCGUCGAGCAGCAUGGAAUGCUGCAGCAGGUGGAUGGUGGCCAAGAUGGAGUCUCUUCUGUCAAGGGUGCACUUGUUGCACCGUGGGGUUUGACACCUGGGGCUUAGUGGUGGUGGUGGUGGUGGUCGGAGGGGAGGAGUUCUCAGAAUUGUUCUUUGACGGCGAAGUGGACUGCCUCAACCGCACGGGGCGUGGUGACGGAGGUGGCGGUGGUGACGGCAGGUCCAGGUGAUGAUGGCGGCACUGCAAGAGGCCGUGGAGGAGGAGGGCAUCGGGGAGGUGGAGGGGCGGCUGCGGUUGACGGAGGAUGAGGUGGUGCUGGUGAUCGGGCGGAUGCUGGGGAGGUGGUGGUGGUGGUGGUGGUGGUGAUGGUGAUGGGGUGGUAACGGCGAGGGCGGCGUUGUUGAGGACCGCACGGUGGCGAGCGGCGAGUCGUGAGGUCAAGGAGGAGGUGAUGGAGGUAGAAGAAGAACAGUAGGGGGAGUGGUUAGCAGUCCGAUGAGAAUGGAGUUAAAAAUAAGAGAAAAAAGUAGAUGUGUAAUUUUUCCUCAAAUUACUCUGUUCAUAAUUUCUUUUGUUGUAAAUUUUACAUUCCAGAACUCAUCAAAACAGUUAUUUUGUAAAAAUUACAGUGUUGUUUAGGAAACAGUACUUAACCCAAAACUCUGUUUUUAGUGGUUGCUAAACAGGCCCUAAGCCUAAUUUUUUGGUGAAUUUGUUUUGGCUAGGAAUUAACUAGUAAUCCCGAAUGCUGUUCUUGACAACAUCCUUGCAUUUGAUGAUCUGAA